rnacentral:misc_RNA from 1 species
AGGGUGCACCAGUUUGCUGCUUCCGUUCGUAGUUGCAAACCUCCUGAUCAUAAAGAGAGGGAAAGAGAUGCGUAAGGGACAAGUUAAUUGGCCAGAGUACACUUUGAAACUGUGAAUUAUUCUAGAGCAAACAUAUUUGUAGCUUGUUGCAAGUGAUUUGCGGAAUUUGGUGUAGGCAGAUAUGAAAGAAGCUGUUCACCAGCCAUUGUCCUCCUGGCAGCUAGUGCCUGCUGCAUUAUGUUUCAGAGUUCUUGAGACCGGGCUCUCCAGAGGGAUUGGUGGUUUUGCUUGGG